rnacentral:rRNA from 1 species
UAGAGUUUGAUCCUGGCUCAGGAUGAACGCUGGCGGCGUGCCUAAUACAUGCAAGUCGAGCGAACGGACGAGAAGCUUGCUUCUCUGAUGUUAGCGGCGGACGGGUGAGUAACACGUGGAUAACCUACCUAUAAGACUGGGAUAACUUCGGGAAACCGGAGCUAAUACCGGAUAAUAUUUUGAACCGCAUGGUUCAAAAGUGAAAGACGGUCUUGCUGUCACUUAUAGAUGGAUCCGCGCUGCAUUAGCUAGUUGGUAAGGUAACGGCUUACCAAGGCAACGAUGCAUAGCCGACCUGAGAGGGUGAUCGGCCACACUGGAACUGAGACACGGUCCAGACUCCUACGGGAGGCAGCAGUAGGGAAUCUUCCGCAAUGGGCGAAAGCCUGACGGAGCAACGCCGCGUGAGUGAUGAAGGUCUUCGGAUCGUAAAACUCUGUUAUUAGGGAAGAACAUAUGUGUAAGUAACUGUGCACAUCUUGACGGUACCUAAUCAGAAAGCCACGGCUAACUACGUGCCAGCAGCCGCGGUAAUAC